CCUACGGGUGGCAGCAGUGGGGAAUAUUGGACAAUGGGGGAAACCCUGAUCCAGCGACGCCGCGUGAGUGAAGCAGUAUUUCGGUAUGUAAAGCUCUAUCAGCAGGGAAGAAAAUGACGGUACCUGACUAAGAAGCACCGACUAACUACGUGCCAGCAGCCGCGGUAAUACGUAGGGGGCAAGCGUUAGCCGGAUUUACUGGGUGUAAAGGGAGCGUAGACGGCAUUGCAAGUCUGAUGUGAAAGAUUGCGGCUCAACCCGAGGAGUGCAUUGGAAACUGUAAAGCUGGAGUGCAGGAGAGGUAAGUGGAAUUCCUAGUGUAGCGGUGAAAUGCGUAGAUAUAAGGAGGAACACCAGUGGCGAAGGCGGCUUACUGGUCUGUAACUGACGCUGAGGUUCGAAAGCGUGGGGAGCAAACAGGAUUAGAUACCCGAGUAGUC
rnacentral:rRNA from 1 species